rnacentral:rRNA from 1 species
GAUGAACGCUGGCGGCGUGCCUAAUACAUGCAAGUCGAGCGAAGCGGGGACGGGUGAGUAACACGUGGAUAACCUCCUAUAAGACUGGGAUAACUUCGGUAACCCUGAGCUAACCCGGAUACUUCUCAAUUGAUCUUCGCUGCUUUAGCUAGUUGGUAAGGUAACGGCUUACCAAGGCAACGAUGCAUAGCCGACCUGAGAGGGUGAUCGGCCACACUGGAACUGAGACACGGUCCAGACUCCUACGGGAGGCAGCAGUAGGGAAUCUUCCGCAAUGGGCGCAAGCCUGACGGAGCAACGCCGCGUGAGUGAUGAAGGUCUUCGGAUCGUAAAACUCUGUUAUUAGGGAAGCGGUACCUAAUCAGAAAGCCACGGCUAACUACGUGCCAGCAGCCGCGGUAAUAC